CUUUCUUUGGCAAUAGAUAUACUAAUAUUAGAGCAAUAAAGAGAAGAUUAGCAUGAUCCCUGUACAACCACCACAUGCAAAUUCACGGAACAUUCCAUAUUUUU